GGGCACAUGGUGUAGUUGGUUAUCACGCCCGCUUAGCAUUUCUUUGCGGCUGCGGGCGGUGCCCGGUUCAAUUCCGGGUGUGUCCA
rnacentral:tRNA from 1 species